rnacentral:rRNA from 3 species
GAGCAAUCUGUGUGACUGCGUACCUUUUGUAUAAUGGGUCAGCGACUUAUAUUCUGUAGCAAGGUUAACCGAAUAGGGGAGCCGAAGGGAAACCGAGUCUUAACUGGGCGUUAAGUUGCAGGGUAUAGACCCGAAACCCGGUGAUCUAGCCAUGGGCAGGUUGAAGGUUGGGUAACACUAACUGGAGGACCGAACCGACUAAUGUUGAAAAAUUAGCGGAUGACUUGUGGCUGGGGGUGAAAGGCCAAUCAAACCGGGAGAUAGCUGGUUCUCCCCGAAAGCUAUUUAGGUAGCGCCUCGUGAAUUCAUCUCCGGGGGUAGAGCACUGUUUCGGCAAGGGGGUCAUCCCGACUUACCAACCCGAUGCAAACUGCGAAUACCGGAGAAUGUUAUCACGGGAGACACACGGCGGGUGCUAACGUCCGUCGUGAAGAGGGAAACAACCCAGACCGCCAGCUAAGGUCCCAAAGUCAUGGUUAAGUGGGAAACGAUGUGGGAAGGCCCAGACAGCCAGGAUGUUGGCUUAGAAGCAGCCAUCAUUUAAAGAAAGCGUAAUAGCUCACUGGUCGAGUCGGCCUGCGCGGAAGAUGUAACGGGGCUAAACCAUG